UUAAGCGACUAAGCGUACACGGUGGAUGCCCUGGCAGUCAGAGGCGAUGAAGGACGUGCUAAUCUGCGAUAAGCGUCGGUAAGGUGAUAUGAACCGUUAUAACCGGCGAUUUCCGAAUGGGGAAACCCAGUGUGAUUCGUCACACUAUCAUUAACUGAAUCCAUAGGUUAAUGAGGCGAACCGGGGGAACUGAAACAUCUAAGUACCCCGAGGAAAAGAAAUCAACCGAGAUUCCCCCAGUAGCGGCGAGCGAACGGGGAGGAGCCCAGAGCCUGAAUCAGUGUGUGUGUUAGUGGAAGCGUCUGGAAAGGCGCGCGAUACAGGGUGACAGCCCCGUACACAAAAAUGCACAUAUUGUGAGCUCGAUGAGUAGGGCGGGACACGUGGUAUCCUGUCUGAAUAUGGGGGGACCAUCCUCCAAGGCUAAAUACUCCUGACUGACCGAUAGUGAACCAGUACCGUGAGGGAAAGGCGAAAAGAACCCCGGCGAGGGGAGUGAAAAAGAACCUGAAACCGUGUACGUACAAGCAGUGGGAGCCUCUUUUAUGGGGUGACUGCGUACCUUUUGUAUAAUGGGUCAGCGACUUAUAUUCUGUAGCAAGGUUAACCGAAUAGGGGAGCCGAAGGGAAACCGAGUCUUAACUGGGCGUUAAGUUGCAGGGUAUAGACCCGAAACCCGGUGAUCUAGCCAUGGGCAGGUUGAAGGUUGGGUAACACUAACUGGAGGACCGAACCGACUAAUGUUGAAAAAUUAGCGGAUGACUUGUGGCUGGGGGUGAAAGGCCAAUCAAACCGGGAGAUAGCUGGUUCUCCCCGAAAGCUAUUUAGGUAGCGCCUCGUGAAUUCAUCUCCGGGGGUAGAGCACUGUUUCGGCAAGGGGGUCAUCCCGACUUACCAACCCGAUGCAAACUGCGAAUACCGGAGAAUGUUAUCACGGGAGACACACGGCGGGUGCUAACGUCCGUCGUGAAGAGGGAAACAACCCAGACCGCCAGCUAAGGUCCCAAAGUCAUGGUUAAGUGGGAAACGAUGUGGGAAGGCCCAGACAGCCAGGAUGUUGGCUUAGAAGCAGCCAUCAUUUAAAGAAAGCGUAAUAGCUCACUGGUCGAGUCGGCCUGCGCGGAAGAUGUAACGGGGCUAAACCAUGCACCGAAGCUGCGGCAGCGACGCUUAUGCGUUGUUGGGUAGGGGAGCGUUCUGUAAGCCUGUGAAGGUGUGCUGUGAGGCAUGCUGGAGGUAUCAGAAGUGCGAAUGCUGACAUAAGUAACGAUAAAGCGGGUGAAAAGCCCGCUCGCCGGAAGACCAAGGGUUCCUGUCCAACGUUAAUCGGGGCAGGGUGAGUCGACCCCUAAGGCGAGGCCGAAAGGCGUAGUCGAUGGGAAACAGGUUAAUAUUCCUGUACUUGGUGUUACUGCGAAGGGGGGACGGAGAAGGCUAUGUUGGCCGGGCGACGGUUGUCCCGGUUUAAGCGUGUAGGCUGGUUUUCCAGGCAAAUCCGGAAAAUCAAGGCUGAGGCGUGAUGACGAGGCACUACGGUGCUGAAGCAACAAAUGCCCUGCUUCCAGGAAAAGCCUCUAAGCAUCAGGUAACAUCAAAUCGUACCCCAAACCGACACAGGUGGUCAGGUAGAGAAUACCAAGGCGCUUGAGAGAACUCGGGUGAAGGAACUAGGCAAAAUGGUGCCGUAACUUCGGGAGAAGGCACGCUGAUAUGUAGGUGAAGUCCCUUGCGGAUGGAGCUGAAAUCAGUCGAAGAUACCAGCUGGCUGCAACUGUUUAUUAAAAACACAGCACUGUGCAAACACGAAAGUGGACGUAUACGGUGUGACGCCUGCCCGGUGCCGGAAGGUUAAUUGAUGGGGUCAGCGCAAGCGAAGCUCUUGAUCGAAGCCCCGGUAAACGGCGGCCGUAACUAUAACGGUCCUAAGGUAGCGAAAUUCCUUGUCGGGUAAGUUCCGACCUGCACGAAUGGCGUAAUGAUGGCCAGGCUGUCUCCACCCGAGACUCAGUGAAAUUGAACUCGCUGUGAAGAUGCAGUGUACCCGCGGCAAGACGGAAAGACCCCGUGAACCUUUACUAUAGCUUGACACUGAACAUUGAGCCUUGAUGUGUAGGAUAGGUGGGAGGCUUAGAAGUGUGGACGCCAGUCUGCAUGGAGCCGACCUUGAAAUACCACCCUUUAAUGUUUGAUGUUCUAACGUUGGCCCCUAAUCGGGGUUGCGGACAGUGUCUGGUGGGUAGUUUGACUGGGGCGGUCUCCUCCUAAAGAGUAACGGAGGAGCACGAAGGUUGGCUAAUCCUGGUCGGACAUCAGGAGGUUAGUGCAAUGGCAUAAGCCAGCUUGACUGCGAGCGUGACGGCGCGAGCAGGUGCGAAAGCAGGUCAUAGUGAUCCGGUGGUUCUGAAUGGAAGGGCCAUCGCUCAACGGAUAAAAGGUACUCCGGGGAUAACAGGCUGAUACCGCCCAAGAGUUCAUAUCGACGGCGGUGUUUGGCACCUCGAUGUCGGCUCAUCACAUCCUGGGGCUGAAGUAGGUCCCAAGGGUAUGGCUGUUCGCCAUUUAAAGUGGUACGCGAGCUGGGUUUAGAACGUCGUGAGACAGUUCGGUCCCUAUCUGCCGUGGGCGCUGGAGAACUGAGGGGGGCUGCUCCUAGUACGAGAGGACCGGAGUGGACGCAUCACUGGUGUUCGGGUUGUCAUGCCAAUGGCACUGCCCGGUAGCUAAAUGCGGAAGAGAUAAGUGCUGAAAGCAUCUAAGCACGAAACUUGCCCCGAGAUGAGUUCUCCCUGACUCCUUGAGAGUCCUGAAGGAACGUUGAAGACGACGACGUUGAUAGGCCGGGUGUGUAAGCGCAGCGAUGCGUUGAGCUAACCGGUACUAAUGAACCGUGAGGCUUAACCUU
rnacentral:rRNA from 1 species